rnacentral:rRNA from 1 species
GACGAACGCUGGCGGCGUGCUUAACACAUGCGAGUCGAACGCUGAAGCUUGGUGCUUGCACUGGGUGGAUGAGUGGCGAACGGGUGAGUAAUAAGUGAGUAACCUGCCCUUGACUCUGGGAUAAGCCUGGGAAACUGGGUCUAAUACUGGAUACGACAUGUCACCGCAUGGUGGUGUGUGGAAAGGGUUUUACUGGUUUUGGAUGGGCUCACGGCCUAUCAGCUUGUUGGUGGGGUAAUGGCUCACCAAGGCGACGACGGGUAGCCGGCCUGAGAGGGUGACCGGCCACACUGGGACUGAGACACGGCCCAGACUCCUACGGGAGGCAGCAGUGGGGAAUAUUGCACAAUGGGCGGAAGCCUGAUGCAGCGACGCCGCGUGAGGGAUGACGGCCUUCGGGUUGUAAACCUCUUUCAGCACGGAAGAAGCGAAAGUGACGGUACGUGCAGAAGAAGCGCCGGCUAACUACGUG